rnacentral:rRNA from 1 species
GACGAACGCUGGCGGCGUGCUUAACACAUGCAAGUCGAACGGAAAGGCCCUGCUUGCGGGGUACUCGAGUGUCGAACGCGUGAGUAACACGUGGGUGAUAUGCCCUCCACUUCUGGAUAAGCCUGGGAAACUGGGGCUAAUACCGGAGAGGAGCCAUCUUUAGUGUGAUGGUUGGAAAGUUUUUUCGGUGUGGGGUGAGCUCGCGGCCUAUCUGCUAGUUGGUGGGGUAAUGGCCUACCAAGGCGGCGUCGGGUAGCCGGCCUGGGGGGGUGGACGGCCACAUUGGGGCUGGGAAACGGCCCAGACUCCUACGGGGGGCAGGCGGGGGGAAUAUUGCACAAUGGGGGCGAGCCUGAUGCAGCGACGCCGCGGGGGGGAUGACGGCCUUUGGGUUGGAAAAUCCUUUCGCUAGGGACGAAGCUUUUUGUGACGGUACCUAGAGAAGAAGCACCGGCUAACUACGUG